rnacentral:rRNA from 1 species
AUUGAACGCUGGCGGCAUGCCUUACACAUGCAAGUCGAACGGUAACAGGUCUUCGGAUGCUGACGAGUGGCGAACGGGUGAGUAAUACAUCGGAACGUGCCUAGUAGUGGGGGAUAACUACUCGAAAGAGUGGCUAAUACCGCAUGAGAUCUACGGAUGAAAGCAGGGGAUCGCAAGACCUUGUGCUACUAGAGCGGCCGAUGGCAGAUUAGGUAGUUGGUGGGAUAAAAGCUUACCAAGCCGACGAUCUGUAGCUGGUCUGAGAGGACGAUCAGCCACACUUGGACUGAGACACGGCCCAGACUCGUACGGGAGGCAGAAGUGGGGAAUUUUGGACAGUGGGCGCAAGCCUGAUCCAGCAAUGCCGCGUGCAGGAUGAAGGCCUUCGGGUUGUAAACUGCUUUUGUACGGAACGAAAAGCCCUGGGUUAAUACCCUGGGGUCAUGACGGUACCGUAAGAAUAAGCACCGGCUAACUACGUGCCAGCCGCCGCCGUAA